CACUGGCCAUUAUUGUCGUCCUCAUCUGAUAUGCUGACAAUUUGUUAUAUGGUGGUUACGGUGAAAUGCUUCUCUGAAGAUGAGAUUUCCACCUUGUACCAAACACAAUAGAAUUGCAGGCUGACUAUACAUAUGUACGUUAUUUGCAAUAAGAUGGAUUGAUCCGCAGUCCGAGCAAAAAGGCUACAGCUGCUGUCCUCAAAAGAGAUAUGAUUUGGAUUAUCAGAAAUGACAGGCUAUAUGAGAAAACAGUCAUAUCCGCGAAAAUUAUACGUCGGUGUUGCAGGAAAAAAAAAAAAAGUUUAUUGCAGGCAGACUGUCGGCGGCGCAGCUCCUUGAUGUUGUUUGGUUGAGCGUGUGAGGAUUUUAUGCAACAAUCACAGACCUCCCACAACACUGCAACAGAAUUAAAGUCAGUAAUUUAUCUCUUUCACAUUUCUUUUGUUGGUAAGUCCUUUAUCAGUAUUGCCAGAGCAUACCGAGGUUCUCACCAGUGGUUAAAAAAAAGACUGCGUGACAUCAACAAAAUGCAAAAUUUAGCACGUAGGCGAUAAAACAGGAGAAA